rnacentral:rRNA from 1 species
GAUGAACGCUGGCGGCGUGCCUAAUACAUGCAAGUCGAGCGAACGGACGAGAAGCUUGCUUCUCUGAUGUUAGCGGCGGACGGGUGAGUAACACGUGGAUAACCUACCUAUAAGACUGGGAUAACUUCGGGAAACCGGUGCUAAUACCGGAUGAUAUUUUGAACCGCAUGGUUCAAAAGUGAAAGACGGUCUUGCUGUCACUUAUAGAUGGAUCCGCGCUGCAUUAGCUAGUUGGUAAGGUAACGGCUUACCAAGGCAACGAUGCAUAGCCGACCUGAGAGGGUGAUCGGCCACACUGGAACUGAGGCACGGUCCAGACUCCUACGGGAGGCAGCAGUAGGGAAUCUUCCGCAAUGGGCGAAAGCCUGACGGAGCAACGCCGCGUGAGUGAUGAAGGUCUUCGGAUCGUAAAACUCUGUUAUUAGGGAAGAACAUAUGUGUAAGUAACUGUGCACAUCUUGACGGUACCUAAUCAGAAAGCCACGGCUAACUACGUG